rnacentral:rRNA from 1 species
UACAAGUACCCGUGAGGGAAAGUUGAAAAGAACUUAGAGGUGAGAGUUCAAUAGGGCGUAAAACCGGUUAGAAGUAAACGGAUGGUGCUGACAUUGUUCCUGCCGAAUUCAGCCGGUUCGACGGGUGAUCAUCAGUUCGCCGAUCGCAAGACGGUGUUCUGAGUGUAUUCGCUCUAGGGCUGGUGCAUUUUCGGUAGGAUGCAUCGUGACCGUUGACGACGCUGGCAGAAGGCCGGUUUGUUGCCGACUAUGAGUCUUCGGAUUUGUAGUGCCCCACUUGCCGUGUCCUGUCCGAGUUGGCGUCAACGGAUAACUGGACGUGCCCGUCUCUCUCAACUGGUGCUUUCAUUCGGCUGGCUGAAUCGUGCGGUCGUGCUUGCACGGCAGCGCAACCCUCAGUCGUUUGUAUUGUACUGGCUUGAGUUGGCACUGAAGGUCUACGGUGUCCGCGUCAGUCUCCCAUCCGACCCGUCUUGAAACACGGACCAAGGAGUCUAACAUGUGCGCAAGUCAUGGGGUGGAAAACCCAAAGGCGUAAUGAAAGUAAAGGCCGCAAGGCUGAGGUGUGAUGUUUAGUAUAACUAGACCGCAACACCGCCCCAUCGCAUCGGCUCGUCCGGGCGGUGGAGGAAGAGCGUACAUGUUGGGACCCGAAAGAUGGUGAACUAUGCCUGAGCAGGAUGAAGCCAGAGGAAACUCUGGUGGAGGUCCGUAGCGGUUCUGACGUGCAAAUCGAUCGUCAGA